GUAACGCGUGGGAACGUGCCCUUUGCUACGGAAUAGCCCUGGGAAACUGGGAGUAAUACCGUAUGUGCCCUUCGGGGGGAAAGAUUUAUCGGCAAAGGAUCGGCCCGCGUUGGAUUAGGUAGUUGGUGGGGUAAUGGCCUACCAAGCCGACGAUCCAUAGCUGGUUUGAGAGGAUGAUCAGCCACACUGGGACUGAGACACGGCCCAGACUCCUACGGGAGGCAGCAGUGGGGAAUCUUAGACAAUGGGGGAAACCCUGAUCUAGCCAUGCCGCGUGAGCGAUGAAGGCCUUAGGGUUGUAAAGCUCUUUCAGUGGGGAAGAUAAUGACGGUACCCACAGAAGAAGCCCCGGCUAACUCCGUGCCAGCAGCCGCGGUAAUACGGAGGGGGCUAGCGUUGUUCGGAAUUACUGGGCGUAAAGCGCACGUAGGCGGACGAGAAAGUCAGAGGUGAAAUCCCAGGGCUCAACCCUGGAACUGCCUUUGAAACUCCUUGUCUUGAGGUCGAGAGAGGUGAGUGGAAUUCCGAGUGUAGAGGUGAAAUUCGUAGAUAUUCGGAGGAACACCAGUGGCGAAGGCGGCUCACUGGCUCGAUACUGACGCUGAGGUG
rnacentral:rRNA from 1 species